rnacentral:rRNA from 1 species
AAGCAGGGGAUCGUAAGACCUUGCGCUUUUGGAGCGGCCGAUGCCUGAUUAGCUAGUUGGUGGGGUAAGGGCCUACCAAGGCGACGAUCAGUAGUUGGUCUGAGAGGACGACCAGCCACACUGGGACUGAGACACGGCCCAGACUCCUACGGGAGGCAGCAGUGGGGAAUUUUGGACAAUGGGCGAAAGCCUGAUCCAGCAAUGCCGCGUGAGUGAAGAAGGCCUUCGGGUUGUAAAGCUCUUUCAGUCGAGAAGAAAAGGUUGCGACUAAUAAUCGCAACUUAUGACGGUAUCGACAGAAGAAGCACCGGCUAACUACGUGCCAGCAGCCGCGGUAAUACGUAGGGUGCGAGCGUUAAUCGGAAUUACUGGGCGUAAAGGGUGCGCAGGCGGCUCUGUAAGUCAGAUGUGAAAUCCCCGGGCUUAACCUGGGAAUUGCGUUUGAAACUACAAAGCUAGAGU